rnacentral:lncRNA from 1 species
AAAUUGGGGCUCCCCACCCCGGGGGCGGGGGAGGGUGGGUGCUGACGCAGCGGCUCCCAGAGCACUUGCCAUGUCAGCAGUUCCCUGCCAGGGCCCCAAGAGAGCGGCCAGAUGAAGAGGCCUGGGAGCAGAGAAUCUUACAUCCUUCAGAAGCAAAGCCUGAAGAAAUGGACCUAUAAAGGCCGUUUCCCUCGCUCGCUCGCUCCCUCCACGGGAUGACAAUAUUGAAAUCCGACCUCCAAGGGCGCCGGCACCGCGGCUGUACCUGGGGAAUUACAGGGACUUUCUUAGCGUCUUCCUGCACCACCGUUUUCUGAAUUCAUCUAACGCCUCGGAGACACUGUAUUCGUUUGCAGGUGUCAGGACACAGGAGGAGCUGCCCUGCUCGCGUCCCUGGGACCCGACGUCCGGUCUCCGUCCCUGAGUUGCAAGGCUGAGGCCACCCGGUGGAGGGCUGGGUGGGGUCAGUGAUGGAGCCCUCACGGAGGAAACCUUCCUGCUGGACAUGGGGGCCCCGCCUGUGACCAGGUUCCCCGGGUCCAGUGCUCGCGGGCUGCGACAGACUGCUCAGUUCUGGGAGGGACGCGUCACCAGGGCCACCAGAGGGCACUGCACCACUGUGGUGCCCAGGCUGCAGCUGUGUGCCCGGCCUGGGCUCGGCGGGCUGCCGCGGCCCGUGACUGCGCAUGCGUGUGUGCCAAUGGCAUCCAAGGCGCCUGUGCCAUCUCCACCCCACAGGGCGUCGCGCCCCCCGGUGACUGCUGCUCUUUCUAUCCAGCAGCUUAGACCCUUAUCUUCGGACGCCUCACAGAUGGGUCUCGAAGCACAGACUCUGGGGUGGGGGGGUCUCCUACUUGGCACAACGCGGUCAACUCCAGAUUCGAGUGGAAUUCAUCUGACAUCUAUUCUCGGGCUUAGAGGUGGUAAGGGGAGGAUCCCCGCCACUGAGCCAGGUUUUGCAGUUACCCUUAUGGCAAUCGCAGCAUCUUCAAUGAAACCGGGUGAUAACGGAUUGAACAUAGAGAUUCCUCAGGCAUCUGCUCGUGUUUGAAAGGGCUGUACCUCACCACUGCUGAGCCUAGGAUGUCCCCAGGCCACUCUCCCUGGGACCCCGUUGAAGAGCAGAGUGGGACACGCUUUGCACCUAAGGCUGAGGUGCUGUCUACUCUGUGGGUGACAGAGGCCGUGCUCAGACCGUCAGAGACUCAGAGGAAAAAAGCCCAGACACAGAGAACAUUGUUGUUCGUCCUAGAAGAACCAGACUUAGAAAAAUUCUCAAGGAAAAAGGAUCUCCUUACAUCUUGUUCAAAGGAAACGGGGUCACAGUCUCACAGCGUUCAGGCCAGGACUGUAGCUGAAGUGCCGACCCUCGCAGGCACCUCCUAAUGUUGGUAUGUCCCGUACCACGUGCCCGAAUGCGUGUGUGUGUGUGGGGGGGUGUGUGUGUGCUCUUUGCACAAUCUGCCAGCCCAAUUUCAAGGGCAAGUGAAGCGGGUCUCUCUGGACGUGUAACUUUCACAUCCUGAACCUGGAGCGUGUGAUCUUUAUAUUGUUGCUCUUAAACCCCACAGUUGACAGUGCUGGCGAUUUUCAAGAGCCGAAACGUGACCAUAUUUGGAGAUGAGGCUUUAAAGAGGUGAUUAAGGUCGGAGGAGGUCACCGGGGUGGCCCUAAUCCCUUAGGACUGGUGUCCCAAUAAGAGGAGAUCAGGACACAGACGUGCACAGGGAAGCCCACGUGAGGACACAGGGAGGAGGUGGCCGUGGAGGGGCCAGCCCCCAGGUCAGGGAGAGACUUCUGCUGUUUGAGCCGCAGACCAGGUGGGGGUAGGGCGGUAGGCACAGGCUGAGGGGGGCCGGGCGUGGGUUACAGAAGGAAGCGGAGGAGGGGGGACACCGUCCUGAGGGCUGACUGUCCCUUGUCAUUUGGGGGGCUCCCCAGGUGCCUGCAAGGUGGACCCCCGUCUCCCCUGAGGGGCCUCCUGCACCUGCUCCCUCCUGCCGCAGCGUCUCCUACAAAACCGUACUGUGGUCACUACACAUCCACUGGUUUCACAACCUUUGUUAAGAUGCUCGUAUUAUCUGGUAAAAAUAGAUCUUGCUCAUAGGAAACACUCGUACAAAACUGUCUCCUCGGAGUUCCCGUCGAGGUGCAGUGGUUAACAAACCCGACUAGGAACCAUGAGGCUGCGGGUUCGAUCCCUGGCCUUGCUCAGCGGGUUAAGGAUCUGGCCUUGCCGUGAGCUGUGGUGUAGCUUGCACAUGCCACUUGGAUCCCGCGAUGCUGUGGCUCUGGCAGAGGCCGGUAUCCACAGCUCCGAUUUGACCCCUAGCCUGGGAACCUCCAUAUGCCAUGGGAAGUGGCCCUAAAAAGACAAAAAGACAAAACAAAAACUGUCUCCUCUUCCAAAUCCUCUUCUUCCUACCAUGUCCGGAGCCUGCGAACAGAAUGUCUGACACUCGGAAACCUGUAUUCAAGGAUCCAGGGAGGAAAACAAACAGCAGGAGUCUGAUGAGCUGCCUCAAACCCACCUCCUGGCGCCAUAUCGGCUCUCUGUCCACAGCCUCCCCACACCUGUCAUUAUGCUGACCGGCCGUCUCCUGUGGCUGUUCUUCUUCUGGGAAGAAAGACAUGGCAGUGACUUCCUGCAGGGCACACGGGCCCCUGGAGGAGGAGGAGAUGGGGUGGAGGGGUUCUGAGCAACUCUGGGCACCAGUGAAGCCCCUGGCUUCUCCCCAAGUCCUGAGCACAAGGUGACACGGCCCAGCCAGAGACACCCACCCGAAGGGGAGCCUCCUGGACCCUGAUCCUGCCUUCAAUCCUGGGGAGGGCGGUUCCCCGAGGAGAGGCCCCCAUGCAAGAUGACCACACGGCCCGGGGUUCCUGGGACAGUCCCUGCCAGGCCUCAGGGACAAGGAAGAGGCAGGACGGAUGGGACACAUCGUGGAUGAAAGCGCCUUCAGAGCCCGGGGUCGUGCACCUGCUGUGGCAGCGCCCGGCUCCCUGUGGAGAAGUGGGCAUCUUAUGGGUCACUGGAGGCCUUGCGGUCCCCCCAUGUGCAUCUUUUUUAUGUCCCUGGGUCCCCAGUCUCACACCCGUGACUCUGCACGCAUCCCAGGGAGGGCAGGACACUCGGAAGAGCAAGCAGCCUCGUGAGGACACCUGAGCGCUGAGCGGCCAUCCCCACAGCCCUGGCCCAGCCUGGGUCCCCAAGGUGGCCUGCUCUCCGAGGGAUCUUUGCUGGCUGGGCUGGGUGGCGGGUCGGGGGCAAGCCGGGCCAAUGAUCAGCAGACACACAGCAAAAGGGGGGGGGGCUUGUCUGUUGUCCUGGAUAAACAGGGCACUGAGACCACCUGAGCCCCAUGGCAGCGGCUUCUCUGCAUGAGCUGAUGUCCAGAAAAUAGGGGCUCAGCAAGGUCAACAGUCCGUUUCCAUGAACAUGUGGAAGAGGCAGAGCAGCCGCCCUGACGCCCAGGCCCGUUAAGGCCCUCCUGGCCCCUGGCACCGCUGCAUGCCUCUGCCUCUGUCUCUCCAGGCACUUUUCAUCCACAGCGGUGGCUGUGGGGCUCCCCGCACCCCACAUUGGGGCUGCGGACGGCAGCUCCCAGCCACCCCUGGGACCGACGCCUCCAGGGGCCCCGGAGAGCACUCCUGGUCAGGCUGGAGCAGCGCUGCUCCAAGUCCAACCCUCCAGCGCCCCCGGCCGGUCCACCUGUGGCCGUGAUGACCUGCAGGUUUGGAUGUCGUCACCAUGGUCCUCCCACGGUGCCUGAUGAUGUCGCCUGGACGGUCUGUUAGCCUGGGCGGGGCGGGUGCCCCGGAGCCGCAGUGUUCUGACAGCGCAUCCCACUCCCAAGGGCAGCAGCUCCUACAUCGAGAACGGGGAGUUCCCGCAGGGAGAGGGUGGCCGACAGCCACCGCACAGCGGCCUGGGGCGGCCCUCAGUGCAGCCUCCCAGAGGAGCGGGCCCUGGGUGUGGAGUCCUCACACAGCUUGACUGCAGGCUCGGGGACACCAGAGCCAGCUGCCCCAGCGAGGGCCACACUGGCUCUGGGGGUCAGGCACAGUUUGCUCCCUUCCUCCACGUGGGUCUCCCGUCGGGGACCAUCGCUGGCUUUGUGGGCGGGGCAUCUGGCUGGAGCAGGUGCCCUGGCAUCUGGAGGUGGACAGAGGGUCACCGAAGACACAGGGGUCUGGCCGCCUCUGGCUCUUGAGCGGGGAGCUCGGGCAGGGGUUGGGGGCAGGGCGGCAGCUCUGAAACCGCCUUCUGGCUCCUGACCACCUCCCUUGGCUUGGCCUCUGUCUCUGCCUCCACUCUCCCUGGAGGGCGGCCCAAGCUUACCUAACGCUCUCCCCCAGUCCAUCUGGCCCCCACUACCCUGGGGGCACUGCCAUCACGCUCAAGUCCAAGUGCACACGUCCGUGGUCUGUGCUCUGUCAGGGCAUCGCAGCCACAGGACCAGGACCGGGACCGGGCGGCUGUGAGGACGUGGCGGGGCAGAGCGGCUGGAAUCUGCCUGGAAAGGGCAGGAGUGAGCGGCCAUGAGGGAGCAAGAAGCGUCUGCCAGGCCCGCCAGGCUGGUGGCAGUUGCGGCCAACAGGGCUGCAAGCUGGGGCACAAAAGAAGGGGGGCAGCCGUGCUGGACAUGCUCUUGGGGAUGGGGACAGGGAGGGGAAACGUGGUUCGGGCCCAAAGAAAGAUCAGAACGGGACAGAGAUCAGGGAGUCAUUUGCUUCCAUUGGCAGCAGCCCUGUUGAGCGGCCGAGGAGCCGCAAGGAAAGGAGAAGGAAGAACGGGGUGGAGGGGGGCACGUGCCUGUGGCUGUCAGAGCAGCACAGGUGGAGGCAGCGCGCGCCCGGGAGGCCUGAGCCGGUCGAAGGGCGAGUGGACUGUGGACUGGGGUCUGCUGAUGGACGCGCCUGGUGGGGAGGCCAAGGAGGUGGCCCAGAGCAGGGUCUCUGAAAAGGACACUGAGUCUCAAAAGCAAAAUGCUGUGACCUGAGCUGAAGGCUGGGAGAGUUUUCCCAGAGCAACAGGGGGCAUCUGGGGUCGUGCUCAGCAGACCACCAAUUCCGUAGAGUCUCCCGCGGAAACGGACAGACACAGGGCCGGACGUGCCCAAACGACCUCCAGGCUCCUUGCUCAGUCCUGAGAUGGAACGUUCCUGAAAAACCCAUGUCAGGAGCAGGCUGUUCACGACAGCCCAGGUGGCCUUGCGGCGGACACUGGCAGAACGGUCUCCACCACACCUGCCAUAGGUGUGUGUUGCAAGAGAGCACGUCUGGAGUUCUAGAAAGGCAUCUUCCCCGAAGGGCCUGGCCCUGGGGGCUGGGCUUCCUGCACAGGGACGGUGUCCUUCCGCUUUGCCUGGUUUGCUGACUGUCCUGAAUCCGUUUUCUAGAAAGGACCCUUGGGAGGUGGAAGGCUGAGGCCACAAAAGCACCUCCUAUCUUCAAGAACCUUAACUUCUCAGGCAGUUUGGGCAAUUUCUCCACGGCCUCCUAAAUAUGGCAAGCAGUUGGUGUGUGGUCUUCAUGCCACGAUAUCGAAAUGUCCAGACAGGGUGAUGAUGACCGGCCAGGAGAAGCCACCGUUCAAAGCCAGGCCGCCCUGCAGUACCCAAGGAGACGGUGGACACGCCCUCAGAGCAAAAGGCAUUUCUGUUCCUUCGGAGGCAGCCAGAGUCGCCUCGUGCUCCCGAACAAAAGUGGGAAGAGGUGGCGGAGGAGGAAGCCCCCGCUUCUGCCUUCUUUGGGGAGCAGCAGACGUCUGGGGUGUUAACCCCAAGUCACUCCAGCUGGCGGCCCUGCAGGGCGCGCCACGGUCUACCUGCGGGCUGGGGCCGCCACAUCCAGCAGCACUUUGGCAGCCCUGGCUCCAAGGCCUGGCCCCUGGUUGGAGGCUGGAAGAAGGCACGGGGUGGGGGGGUGGGGGGACCGGACCCCUCCCGCCAGAGUCAGAUGUCCCCGGGGAGGGGCUGCGGGGAUUAGGAAUGAAGAGAAGGCUGAAGGAGAGAGAGCAAGGG